CGGACUUUGCGGGCGGGCGGGCACUGGUGAGAAGAGGAAGUGGGAGAGGCCUGGGAAGGAAACUUGGAAACCGAAAACUCGGCGGCCGAGGCUCCGUGCCCCGCGCGCAGCGCUGCUCCUGCCCCGGCCAAGGACGCACGGGCCAGCCGGCGGAACCAGAGGUUUUCAGUGAUGUUGAGAGUCAACAGGAAAUUAAUCAGCAAGUAGAAAAUUGAAAGAAGAUCUGCAUCUUACUGCAGGAGUCAUUAAAAUAAAAGCAGAUUUGGCAAAAUGGCAAGAACCAGAGGAUGAGGAUGUAAAACAAAAACUUUUGGAGUCAUUUUGCCACCAGGAUGAAAAUAGGAUGAAGCUGACAUGACAAAGGUGCAGUUGUCAUAGCCUUCUCCAGCAUGUGUUCCUUCUGUAUUUCAGACAUGGCAGAGGAGACACAGCAAUAACUAAGGGGCAACUAUUGCAUCCAGAAAAAAAAAAAAUGAAGAUAAUGACUUCUCUGCAACUAAGAUGAAGAUCCACUGAACUUUGGGGUUUGAAAUGCAACGUUAGAACUUCAGACUCCCGGCACCUAGGUCUCCAGCUGCUGGGUGGUGCCAGCAUCAGAGAUACACUCUGCAAAACAUAUACUGUCUUAGGAAAAAGUGACCCUGUUGUCCUUUCAGGCCCAUAUUCCACAAGAAGACAAAUGGAGAUGUAAAAGGAAAACUGCAGCUCCGACUGAAGAGAGAGCAAGUUGUCUGUUCUGAUACAGCCAGGAAAUAAGAUGUUCUGGUUAAUAUGUGCUAAAGAUGUGGUGCUGACUUUCCGACUCAGAAUA
rnacentral:lncRNA from 1 species